rnacentral:tRNA from 1 species
GCAUCGGCGGUUGAAUGUUAGAAUGCUCGUCUGCCACGCGAGCUGCCCGGAUUCGAUUCCCGGCCGAUGGA